rfam:Parasitella parasitica strain CBS 412.66 genome assembly, contig: contig_6366
GGGGUUGUAACUUAAUCGUUAAAGUUCCUGACUUUUAAUCGAUAUGAUUAGGGUUCAAAUUCCUACGACCUCC